GGGUGCCCAGGACCCGGAGCAGCUGCAACAGGGCGUCCCUCCCUGUCCAAGGGUUUCCACUUCUGAGCGCAAAAGGGAAGAACUUAAGCGGGCGGCCAGUUGGAGUGUACAUUGCUCGGUAGUGUUUAAAAGCAGCACGGAUCGCGGGCAGCUGAGCCGGGGGAAUGGGAAGGGGCAGAAGGAGAAAGAGAAUCUUAAACAGGCUCCCCUCCCAGCUCCAAGCCUGAGGAUCAUGACAUGAGCCGAAAUCAAGAGUCCAUUGCUUAACCAGCUGAGCCACCCAGCAACAAACCAAAUGGACUUCAUGUGAAAUUAUUGACUACUCUGUGCCUCUCAGCCUCAAUUAGCCCCUAAUUCUAGGCACCUGGAAGCCAAAGCAAACCAUAAGGAGCCACAAGCACUACCCCGAUGCAGCAUCUCUGGAAGGAAGUUUCACAUGCCACCUGGCAACCACCAUGUUACCUUCUGUUUCUAUGAGUCCGCCUACUUCAGAUAUUUAUAUAACAAACUGAGAAGCUGAUAAUUGAGAUCGCUCAUAGGUAAGCAUUUUGCCAGACCUCCAAAACUGAUUCGAUGAAGUCAUACAGGUCAUUUGACACCAUUUUAAAGAUGCAAACAUGAACUCACUCAUGAUCAUAACCCAAAGAUAAAGUAUAUAAAUUUGUAGUAUAUAAAAAUAGUGUAUAAAAAUGAGAAAAAUGUAUGUAAUUUUAAAAUGAUUCUUAGUACCUCAAUAUUUAAUCAUGCUCUGAAUUUAACAUCCCAACAAUUAUCCAUAGGUUUAAGUUGCCUAAGAAUCUUGAAAUUUGAGAUCUCUGGGUGGCGCAGUGGUUUGGUGCCUGCCUUUGGCCCAGGGCGCAAUCCUGGAGACCCGGAAUCGAAUCCCACAACGGGCUCCCAGUGCUUGGAGCCUGCUUCUCCCUCUGCCUGUGUCUCUGCCUCUCUCUCUCUCUCACUGUGACUAUCAUAAAUAAAAAAUAAAAAAAUUAAAAAAAAAGAAUCUUGAAAUUUAUGGUUAGUCUGACAUAGUACCAAUGUAAUUACUGUUAUAAAAAAGUAUAAUUAUGAAUCAAUUUAGUUGAAUCACAUUAUUUAUAAUUUAUAAAAAGUUUAUAAUCAUAUUCAACUUAGUUGAAUAUAUUGCUUAUAACCUUAAGUAUUGUGUAAGAAUAAUAUCAGCUUAUUUGAUCAAAAACUCAAUAUAAGUUUAUAUUUUUCAAUUUUCCCAGAGGACCCCAGGAAAAUCACAUGAACUAGCUUGUUCAUAAAAAACAAAUCCACAUCUUUUAAAAGUAAAACAGUUUUUUACAUCAUGCCCAUAGUAGCAAACCCAAGCCAAAGACAUAGAGCUAUUUAUAUUUUUAAAGUAUUGAAUGAACCUGAUUUGUCUAAAGAAUCACUUUAAUUACAUGAAUUUGGAUUUUUUUAAUGUUUCUGAGAUACCUGUUUCCAUACAAAUAAUUUUUCUUAAGAUGUGAUAUCUAGUAUCCUUGAGGUAUUAGAAGCUCACUUUCCUUAUUUUCUGUGAAUUUCAGUAACAGGCUGAUGUAUAUCUAUGGCUUAUGUAUAUCUAUGUUUAUAAAACAUAAAGGAAUUGAGCUACUUUAAGAAACCUAAUCAUCCAAUUUAUUAAUGCCCUCUGGUGGUAGGAAAAGAUGUCACUCUCACACCAGGAAAGGUAAAAGCUUUUCUGAAUUACAGAGAGCUUAUGGUUUUAGUUCUGCAAGAUCAGUCACAGGUAAGAGGUAAACCAUAAACAAAACCCAUUAGUUCAGAUAUCAAAAAGUUAUUUCCCUUCCCAGUAGGUACAGAAAUUUGACUUUAUAAGCAGAUAACAACAACAAAAAAAUAAGAGUAGCAAAACAUUCUUUGUCAUUUCUCAUCAAAAAUAGAUUACCAUCAUUCAUCUGAUGAGGUGUUCGGAUGGUCAACCAUAAAACCAAAUUCCCAAUUAAUGCAGCCAUCAAAGAGAACAACUUAUCCAUCUGCAAGUAGGACACAAAAUCAAAACACAAUAUCACUGAGUAAAAAAUAAAAAAAAAAUAAUAAAAAAGCAUCCCUGGAGCAUCAAGAAAUACAAAGUUCUGGAUUUCACUCUUUGAGUCAAAAAGAGUUGCUGGGCUUAAACAGCCCAUGAAGUGCGCUUUUCUGGCAACAGUUUUUCUUGGCAGCAGUUUUUCUUGAUGUCAUCAGGCGAGUGCACUUGGGCAUCAAAGUAAAUGACCUCCACAAUUGUUAAAGGUUAAAAAAAACAUGGUUCUCAUGCAAAAUAUAAACAUGUGUGAAAUAUUUACUCAAUCCAAUUGUUUAUUAAGAAACCCACACCAAAAAAAAAAAAAAAAAAAAAAAAAAAAAAAGAAGAAGAA
rnacentral:lncRNA from 1 species